CUGACCUGUCAGCCCGUGCAUUCCAAUUCUACCAAACCGUAAACAAAGCUGGUGGAGAUUUGAGGGAAUCGGGAAAGCCGUCACGUAUCCGCACUCAUGGAGAAAGCUCUUUUCCCACACAAAUCCCUCAUCCUGAAGCUCUUCCCCCACUCUGUCCCUUCCUUCCCCUUGCUCUGUAUCCGCACUCAUCGAGAAAGCAAUCGCCUCUCUACUACUCCACACGUUGCCCAGUUCUAGCCGAACCAUCGCUGCUCCACCAGGCGCCUCAUACUUGGCCACCGUUGCACCCUCUUAUCCAUCUGUAGCCCAGGUUAAUUAGUGAGGAAGGAUGGAUUGUUGUGCGACGCGUGGUUGGUCACAAGCGCGGGUUUGUAGGCAUGAAGAAAACUAGUACCACAUUUUGACAACAUGAUCUUUUUUGGUUCCAUGAGUACAAGCACUCGCGCCUACAAUUUGGAUGUGAUCAACAAUCACAAUGCGAAGUCGCUGCUCGAUGUGUUGGAGUGUGAUUGCACAAGUAGAAACAAGGUGACCACCUGGCGCGUCAAUCAGGGAAAGUUCUGCUUCUUAUUGCUCUACGUGUUGGCCAAUUCAUUGAUUUACUCAAUAUUCUAACUUGAUGAUCAUGUCAUUAUAUAAACCGGACACACAACCACCAUGUACUAUAGGACGGAGGGCAAGCCCUUCACAUUGAUUCAUUGUACGAUGAAGCUCAAGGCGCAACCCAUUUGGGAGAACGCGUGGUGAUGAAGAAGGUCAAUCUCGAAGCGAGAAGAAAGCUUGAGAUGAAGGCCACUUUCCAGGAGUAUGCUUGAAUUUGGAAUCGAUGAAUUUAAAAAACAUGUUCAACAUUGGUUGCUUUUAUUAUGAAUUUAAAUUUAUUCUUCAA